AGGUGGAAGUUCCGGUUUGGAUGUUGUUGUUUGGAGCUUCCCUGUGCAGUUUUCCAGCGUGUCCUUGGGUGGAUGUCUUUGUGCCGUGAGCAGGGAGGUAUGGAGAGGGAGAGGCAUGGGAUGCAGAGGUGGAACCAUGGAUUGUCUGCUUUCUUCACAGCUCCAACUGGAGACGGCUGUGCCUAUCUGAAAGGUGUGUGUGCCUUUCCUGGUGGCCAUGUCCAGACGACCGAGGCUGUUGUGAUGGAGGGACCUGUGCCUUGUUUUGGAGGGGCCUGUGCUCUUGCCCUCACCUGGCCAGUGUGCAGCGAUGUGUUGUGAUUGUGAUGCCCCAGUGCCCCCUCAUGGUGCUGCUUCCCAGAGAACGGAAGCUGUGACUGUGUGUGCUCACUGCCAUGUAUCUGUGUAGGUUGUGCUGGUGGGUAGCUGACAUGUCUCCGAUUGGAGCUGUGAGCACUGUGUUGUUGGUGGGUGAAUAGUGUACUUUCCUAUGUCAGUGUGCCUAUGAUCGUACAUACAUGCACAC